ACCCGGUGGUCUAGUGGUUAGGACGCUCGCCUCACAAGCGAGAGGUCGCGGGCUCGAUCCCCGCGCCGGGUA
rnacentral:tRNA from 1 species